GUCGGGAUAGCUCAGUUGGUAGAGCAGAGGACUGAAA
rnacentral:tRNA from 7 species